UUAGAUCAGUAAAUCCUCACGGCCUCACGCUACACAAGGCAGUCAUGUUCAACGAUCAGAUAUUUCCAGGCUUAUGCACACAACCUGUUUGAUGAAAUGACUAAAGAAACAAAAAAAAAAAUUUGCAGACCAUCCUUAUGUUCUCUGGAGACGGAUAAGUGAUAGACUUGGGAAGGAGAUGAUUGAUUGGCUAGCAGUUACGACUGAGAAGAACUGGUAGUCUAUCACCUUCAUGGUCCAAAUUUUCUCGCUCGAUCUGCUCCAGUGCUACGUCGAGAGGGGUUCACCGGCCAUGGCAGCGAAGAGCUCUGGACUAGGUUGAGUUUGCUUAUGGUCUAUGUCUUGUGAUCUUCUUUGCGCACUUCAGCUUCUAGGACAGACUGCCAUGAGAAUAUCCUCCCAGACCUCACAAUGGAGUAAUCCUUACAUUUUUCUCACAAUAAUUUUUUUCUUUUGUCUCAAACUCUCAAUACGGUAGGUUGUCUAUGCAUCUACGGGGCAUGCAAGAAUGAGUGCCGGAGGCGGCUGUUGUGGUCAUACAAAGCGCACAGGGAAUUGCUAAUGACAAGGAUAAGCUUGGACUACACGUGCAUGUUAUAGGUGAUUAUGUAUAUAUUGAUCCAGGUUUCAGACUUAUAGUAUCAUUCUGUUUCAAGUAGAAAUUCAGGUCUAAGGUUUUUAUAUAAUAGUUAUGCCUUAUUUCUCUAUUUCAGUUAGUCAUUUCAACUUCAACUUUGAGAGUAUUGGAUAUGCAGUGAACACAAAGUAUCUCACCUGAUUUUAUCUGUGCCAUUGAGGUUUGGAAAGUGCUUACUGGUAUCAUCUACUCUGCAUGAUUAAUUGCCGUAGGUUUGUUCUCUUACCUUUCAACGUUUAGUCCAGGAAGAUGUUUAUUUUUUAUGCCCUGAGAUUAUAUAUGUUCAUUUACCAUGAGUCUUAUCUC